GACGAACGCUGGCGGCGUGCUUAACACAUGCAAGUCGAACGGAGUGGCGAACGGGUGAGUAACACGUGGGUGACCUGCCCUGCACUUCGGGAUAAGCCUGGGAAACUGGGUCUAAUACCGGAUAGUGUGGGAUGGUCCCGCGGCCUAUCAGCUUGUUGGUGGUGUAAUGGCCUACCAAGGCGGCGACGGGUAGCCGUCCUGAGAGGGUGGACGGCCACAUUGUGACUGAGACACGGCCCAGACUCCUACUGGGGGCAGCAGUGGGGAGUAUUGCACAAUGGGCGGAAGCCUGAUGCAGCGACGCCGGGUGGGGGAUGACGGCCUUCGGGUUGUAAACCGCUUUCAGCCAUGACGCGGUAGUGGCAGAAGAAGCACCGGCUAACUACGUGCCAGCCGCCGCGGUAAUUG
rnacentral:rRNA from 1 species